rnacentral:rRNA from 1 species
UUGAACGCUGGCGGCAGGCCUAACACAUGCAAGUCGAGCGCGAAAGGUUUUCGGACUGAGUAAAGCGGCGGACGGGUGAGUAACGCGUGGGAAUCUGCCCAGUAGUGGGGGACAACAGUCGGAAACGACUGCUACUACCGCAUACGCCCUACGGGGGAACGGGGGGGAUCUUGGGACCUCUCGCUCUUGGAUGAGCACGCGUCGGAUUAGCUAGUUGGUAGGGUAAAGGCCUACCAAGGCUACGGUCCGUAACUGGUCUGAGAGGAUGAUCAGUCACACUGGAACUGAGACACGGUCCAGACUCCUAUGGGAGGCAGCAGUGGGGAAUAUUGGACAAUGGGGGCAACCCUGAUCCAGCCAUGCCGCGUGUGUGAAGAAGGCCUUAGGGUUGUAAAGCACUCUCAGUGGGGAGAAAGUUUUGUCACCUAAUACGUGAUGAAAUUGAUGUUACCCACAGAAGAAGCACCGGCUAACUCCGUGCCAGCAGCCGCCGUAA